rnacentral:lncRNA from 1 species
CCCAAAGUGCUGGGAUUACAGUCGUGAGCCACCGCGCCUGGCCUAGAUGAAAUCAUAUGGAGAAUCCCAAAAUGGAAAACAAAUCCAUGUUGUUAAAGAAGGGAAGAAGGCCUCGAUCCCAGCCCAUGGUACCUACGGUUACCUCCCAGAAACCUCUGAAUCAAGCCAAGGAAUCCUGAGGUUCUAAUGAUGAAUAUUUUAAAAUCCGUGAUUUUGAUUUUAGCCUUUUUAUAAAUGAGGUAACUGAGCUAAGUGUUGGUAAAUUUUUCACUUUCAAAAUGGCACAGUUUAUUAGUCUUCAGCAAACAAUAAAAACUAAAGAUUCUUGUCCAUGUCACACUCACUUUCAUGGCUGUCUUAAAGCUUAAAAGGGUUAGACUCUUACUAGGCAAGCUGAAAACAUAGUUUAUUCUUUUGUAUCCAGAUGUUCCCAAUUUCUCACUUUAGAGACACGUCUUCUGACGAUAUUCCUACAGUUAAACGCAU